CCCUUAGAUGUUCUGGGCCGCACGCGCGCUACACUGAAGGAAUCAGCGUGGCUUUCUCCCUGACCCGAAAGGGUUGGGAAACCCGUUGAAUCUCCUUCGUGAUAGGGAUUGGGGCUUGAAAUUGUUCCCCAUGAACGAGGAAUUCCCAGUAAGCGCGAGUCAUAAGCUCGCGUUGAUUACGUCCCUGCCCUUUGUACACACCGUCCGUCGCUACUACCGAUUGAACGGUUUAGUGAGGGCCUCGGAUUGGUCUCGGCCCGCUCUUUACCGGGCGGCGCCGUUGGUCGAGAAGACGCUCGAACUUGAUCGUUUAGAGGAAGUAAAAGUCGUAACA
rnacentral:rRNA from 1 species